rnacentral:lncRNA from 1 species
GGAAGGAGCUUCUCUGAACUCUUCAGUGCCGUCAAAUACAGAACUCUGAAAUCUAAAUCUAUGAUUUUCCGGUAACCACCGACGAUGCCCCAUGUAAGAAAACUUCUUCCCAUUGUACAACCAUUGCGAACAUGUUUGUGCAGCACAACAAGGACACGCAUAACGACCCUUGGUACUCCAACCGGAUAAAUUGGCAUAAGCGGGAAAGUCAUUAAUGGUCCACAUCAAAGCCGCACGUAAAUUAAAGUUCUCUUUUCUC